rnacentral:other from 1 species
AAUUACCUGCCUUGUGCGUGAUAGGUGGAGAACUUGAACCUUCAAUUAGAUUUAGCAGGGAGCCAGAGUAAGGCAAUUGUGAGCAACCCGACCUGUCGGGAAAUGCCUAAUUUUGUCUUCAAGGCGCCCACCUGUAAAAAUAGGGAUUCAAGAUGCCCGUCUACACGACAAGGUGGGUCUUAU